rnacentral:lncRNA from 1 species
GGGUCUUUCCUGAGCCGUUUCUCGUGAGAGUGAAUAGUUCUCACGAGAUCUGAUGGUUUUAAAAACGGGAGUUGCGUUGUACAAGCUUUCUUUUUGUUUGCUGCCUUCCGUAGAAGAUGUGGCUUGCUCAUGCUUGACUUCUGCCAUGGUUGUGAGGCCUCCCCAGCCAUGUGGAACUGUUUUCAGGUGCUGGUUCCAUGGCUCUUCCUGAGCCGAAAAUAAGGAAACUCCAUAGACCUUGUCCACUGGAACUCGUUCCCAUCUACCCUCCACUCUAUCCAGGGUGAUGGAUCUCUGCAGUAAGUGGAAGAGUUCUUCAUGGCCCCCAAGGUUAUAUCCAUCUAGAACUUCAGCACGUAAUUUCAUCUGGAAAUAGUGCCUUUGCGGAUAUAAGUUAGGUAAAACUGAAGAUGAGAUCAUACUGGAUUAGGAUGGGAUCUAAAUCCAAUGAAAAUGUCUUCAUAAAAAACAGGAAAGAACCCAUAGAAACACAAGGAAGAAGGUCAUGUGAAGAUGGAGGCAGAGAUUGGAGGGAUGCAGCCACCGGCCCAGGAAUGCCAGCAGCCACCCAGAAGCUGGAAGGAAAUGAGGGAUUCUCUCCUAGAACCUUUAGAGAGAACAUGGUCCUGUGAACAGCUUGAUUUUGGACUUGCCCAUAGCUUGUAUACUCUUACUUUGGAUACAAUUUUAUCCAAACUUGGCUAAACAGUUUCUCAGCCUAUGGAAAAUUUAAAAUGGAGAAGAUUCAACUCGAUUCUUACAGAUUCAAAGCAAGAAAAUGAUGGGAACAUAGGAGGAGACCAAGAAAGCCUAUAAAAAGCAAAAAUAUGAAGUGAACAUUGUGGUAGCUUUAAGAUGUUUAGUGUAGCUGCAGGCACCCUAUACACAUGAAAACCCCCAAGGGGAAUCCCCAUAUCACAGUGUAGUGUGAUAUUUGACAUUCGUGAUCAUCUAGAGAUGUACAGAAAAGGUGAAUCUGUGUUCUGUAUAUUCUGCCUAAGGCAAAGAAAUGUUUAGCUCUCUUUAAAAUAGUUCCAUAAUUUUUUCUAAAAAGCUUUGCUUGAAAACUGUAAGCUUCCCAUAUCUGGAGCAUUUCACUUUAAAUAUUUGGAUAAAUAUGUUAUCUUCUUACUUGGACAUUUCAUGUGUUUAGGGAUUGUCUUCUAAAUUCUUCCUAAUUCAUAUAGCUGCUAACACUUCCCGCAGAGCUAAACCAUUACAGAUAUGAAAUAAAGACCUAUUGAUUUGACUUACUUUUACUUGUAAAACCUUCUGAGUGUUAUAACCUCAUUUAAUCUUUCAGCAUUUACAGUUUCAAGAGUUUGUGUCACAAUUAGAAGAAUUCAGCUGCACCUCCAAGUGACAGCAGUUGCUCUGGUUGGUGGGUGAUCUCAGGAGGCUUGAGAAUUGCUUUGUCUGUGAGGGAAGUAAGACAUUUUCAGAGCCCCACUUUAGAAGGUGUGAACUGGCUAGAUAAUGAACCCCAGGGCUAACGCUGCUAUAGCAGUGGGAAGGAGGUGAUGGGUUUUCAGUUUGGACCUCAAACAUCAAUACCCUCCUGGUACGGGGAGGAACAGAGUCCCUCCUUUACUUCUCCAUUAGAAAGAAUGAGAUGGCAAGACAAUGAAACAGGCAAAGUGAACAGAGAUGCAAGACAAAAUUCAGGUGAGAGAGCCAGAGCAUCACUCAGCCAUUCCUGACAUGUAAAACAGGCAACUAGAAAUUUGCAGAAAGGAAGCGAAGUCUCCAUAAAGAUGUUUUUAAAGUGAGCUUGAAGUAUUUGGAGACAAUUCAGUGUUACAUAAAAUCUGCAAAUCUCUGGAUAAAGAAGCAGAGAUCCCAGCAUGGGACAAAUGGAGCCUCAAAAGUGGGAAGAAGACAGAGAAGACCAGGGCAGAAUGCAUCUCUUCCUUUCUCUUGGCUUUCCUGGAUAAGGACUGCAUCAUUCCUGUGGAAGGACAGGCCAUCAGCUCCGAAACACUGUAUGUAUUUUCCAGUAUAUACUGCUAGCUGUGUGAUGUUGGGAAAAUUUGUUACCCUGUCUAACCCCCACUUCCCUCAUCUGUAAAAUGGAAAUAAUGAUAGUACCUACCUAUCUCAUAGGUGGCAACUACAAGGGGCAGCACACUCAGGGAAUUAAGGAAGUUUCAGUGAACAUCAACUUUAUGAACACAGUGUUCAUAAAGGCAGGUCAGUGCAGUGGUUUGGGAGCCAGGAGAAGCACGUGGGCCGGAGUGUGCCUGCAGGAGACAAGGUCAGAGAUGUUGCUAAUAAUGGAGAAUAAAGGAUGCAUUCUCAUUACUGA